rnacentral:rRNA from 1 species
UACGAAGGGGGCUAGCGUUGUUCGGAAUUACUGGGCGUAAAGGGCGCGUAGGCGGUGUGUCAAGUCAGGCGUGAAAGCCCCGGGCUCAACCUGGGAACCGCGCUUGAGACUGGCACGCUCGAGUUCGGGAGAGGAUGGUGGAAUUCCCAGUGUAGAGGUGAAAUUCGUAGAUAUUCGCAAGAACACCAGUGGCGAAGGCGGCUUACUGGUCCGGUUCUGACGCUGAGGCGCGAAAGCGUGGGGAGCAAACAGG